GGUUGAACUAUUAAGAGCAUAUGGCGGAUGCCUUGGCAAUAAGGGCCGAAGAAGGGCGUAGCAAGUCUGCGAUAAGCCUCGACUAGCUGUCUAGCA
rnacentral:rRNA from 1 species